rnacentral:rRNA from 1 species
AACGAACGCUGGCGGCAGGCCUAACACAUGCCAGUCGAGCGCGCCCUUCGGGGUGAGCGGCGGACGGGUGAGUAACGCGUGGGAACGUGCCCUUUUCUACGGAAUAGCUUCGGGAAACGGAUAGCAAUACCGUAUACGCCCUUUGGGGGAAAGAUUUAUCGGAAAAGGAGCGUCGCGCGUUGGAUUAGGUUGUUGGGGGGGUAAUGGCCUCCCAGGCCGACGAUCCACAGCUGGUUUGAGAGACUGGUCAGCCACACUGAGAGUGGGACGCGGCCCAGACUCCUACGGAAGGCAGCAGUGGGGGACCUUGGACAGUGGGGGCAAUCAUGAACGAGCCAGGACGCGUAAGUGAUGAAGGCCUGGGGGAUGUAAAGCUCUUUCAGCUAGGAAGGUAAUGACGGUACCAACAGAAGAAGCCCCGGCUAACUCCGUG